UACGUAGGGACGAGCGUUGUCCGGAUUCAUUGGGCGUAAAGAGCUCGUAGGCGGCUGUUCAAGUCGAACGAUGAAACCUCGGAGCUGCAACUCCGAGACCUGCGUUCGAGACUGGAUGGCUAGAGUCUGGUGACGGGGGAUCUGGAAGUUCCUGGAUGUAGCGGUGGAAUGGCGCAGAUAUCAGGAGGAACACCGGUGGCGAAGGCGGGAUCCUGGGCCAGUACUGACGCUGAGGAGGCGAAAGCGUGGGAGCAACAGG
rnacentral:rRNA from 1 species